rnacentral:rRNA from 1 species
CAGCCGCCGCGGGAAUACGUAGGUGGCAAGCGUUGUCCGGAAUUAUUGGGCGUAAAGGGCUCGCAGGCGGUUUCUUAAGUCUGAUGUGAAAGCCCCCGGCUCAACCGGGGAGGGUCAUUGGAAACUGGGAAACUUGAGUGCAGAAGAGGAGAGUGGAAUUCCACGUGUAGCGGUGAAAUGCGUAGAGAUGUGGAGGAACACCAGUGGCGAAGGCGACUCCCUGGUCUGUAACUGACGCUGAGGCGCGAAAGCGUGGGGAGCAAACAGGAUUAGAUACCCCCGUAGUCCCUGUCUCUUAUAC